rnacentral:rRNA from 1 species
GACGAACGCUGGCGGCGUGCUUAACACAUGCAAGUCGAACGGAAAGGCCCUGCUUUUGUGGGGUGCUCGAGUGGCGAACGGGUGAGUAACACGUGAGUAACCUGCCCUUGACUUUGGGAUAACUUCAGGAAACUGGGGCUAAUACCGGAUAGGAGCUCCUGCUGCAUGGUGGGGGUUGGAAAGUUUCGGCGGUUGGGGAUGGACUCGCGGCUUAUCAGCUUGUUGGUGGGGGAGUGGCUUACCAAGGCUGUGACGGGUAGCCGGCCCGAGAGGGUGACCGGCCUCAAGGGGACUGAGAGACGGCGCAGACUCCUACGGGAGGCAGCAGUGGCGAAUAUUGCACAACGGGAGGAAGCCUGAGGCAGCAACGCCGCGUGCGGGAUGACGGCCUUCGGGUUGUAAACCGCUUUCGCCUGUGACGAAGCGUGAGUGACGGUAAUGGGUAAAGAAGCACCGGCUAACUACGUG